GCAUGGUGGAGUAGAGGAAGCUGAGACCCGGAUGGGACUGCCUCCCACCAGCUGCACCAGCACUGGGCCGGGACAGCCUGCCUGGGAGGGUGAAAGGCACCCGAGGAAGCUCCCUGGCCCCUUCCACCACGUGAGGACACAGUGAAAAGUCAGCGUCUGCAGCCGGGAAGUGGGCCCUCACCAGAACCUGACCGUGCAGGCUCCCUGAUCUUGGACUUCCAGCCUCCAGAACUGCUAAGCACCAGGAAAACACCUGGCAAAUCCCCGGAGAGGGACCCCGUGAACUCCCUGAGCAGUGCUCCUCACACUUGUCAGGGUCAUCAAAGCCAAGGAAGGCUGAGCAACCGUCAGCCAGGAGGCACCCAAGGAGACACAGUGAUGAAUGGAACCUGGUAUCCUUGACAGGAUGUUGGGGCAGAGAAAGGGCAUUCUGUUCAAAUCAAGGAAAU